rnacentral:rRNA from 1 species
UGCUCAGGAACAAAGAAACGCGGCACAGAAUGUUUAUAGGUCUGUUGAACACGACCAGAAAACUGGCCUAACGACGUUUGGUCAGUUCCAUCAACAUCAUAGCCAGAUGCCCAGAGAUUAGAGCGCAUGACAAGUAAAGGACGGUUGUCAGCGUCAUAAGAGGUUUUACCUCCAAAUGAAGAAAUAACAUCAUGGUAACGCUGCAUGAAGUAAUCACGUUCU